rnacentral:ncRNA from 1 species
CCUGUGGAGCGUCAAAAAAACGUGAGUAGCCUUGGCAAAAGCGGACGUGUUGAAGCAGGAA